rnacentral:rRNA from 1 species
AUUGAACGCUGGCGGCAGGCCUAACACAUGCAAGUCGAACGAGUGGCGGACGGGUGAGUAAUGUCUGGGAAACUGCCUGAUGGAGGGGAAUACCAACUGGAAACGUUAGCUAAAACCCAAAACAUUGGAUGGGGCCCAGAUGGGAUUAGCUAGUAGGUGGGGUAAAGGCUCACCUAGGCGACGAUCCCUAGCUGGUCUGAGAGGAUGACCAGCCACACUGGAACUGAGACACGGUCCAGACUCCUACGGGAGGCAGCAGUGGGGAAUAUUGCACAAUGGGCGCAAGCCUGAUGCAGCCAUGCCGCGUGUAUGAAGAAGGCCUUCGGGUUGUAAAGUACUUUCAGCGGGGAGGCGUUACCCGCAGAAGAAGCACCGGCUAACUCCGUGCCAGCCGCCGCGGUAAUAC